GCUUAACACAUGCAAGUCGCACGAGAACGUUCACCUUCGGGUGAAUCAGUAAAGUGGCGCACGGGUGAGUAACGCGUGGAUAAUCUGCCUUCAAGACGGGAAUAACAUUGCGAAAGCGAUGCUAAUACCGGAUAAGCUCACGAUUUGAUUGGUUGUGGGAAAAGAUGGCCUAGUCUAUGCUAUCGCUUGAAGAUGAGUCCGCGUACCAUUAGCUUGUUGGUAGGGUAAUGGCCUACCAAGGCAUCGAUGGUUAGCUGGCCUGAGAGGGCGGCCAGCCACACUGGAACUGAGACACGGUCCAGACUCCUACGGGAGGCAGCAGUGGGGAAUAUUGCGCAAUGGGGGAAACCCUGACGCAGCGACGCCGUGUGAGUGAUGAAGGUUUUCGGAUCGUAAAGCUCUGUCAGGUGGGAAGAAUAAGGGCUGUGAAAAUAUUGCAGUCCGAUGACGGUACCACCAGAGGAAGCACCGGCUAACUCCGUG
rnacentral:rRNA from 1 species